UGAGGAUCAUUAUCGUAGGGCUUCGGCCCUGUCGAGAUAGAACCCUUGCCUUUUUGAGUACCUUUCGUUUCCUCGGCAGGCUCGCCUGCCAAUGGGGACCACAAAAAACACUUUGCAGUACCUGUAACAGUCUGAACAAACAAAACAAAAAUUAAAACUUUCAACAACGGAUCUCUUGGUUCUGGCAUCGAUGAAGAACGCAGCGAAAUGCGAUAAGUAGUGUGAAUUGCAGAAUUCAGUGAAUCAUCGAAUCUUUGAACGCACAUUGCGCCCUUUGGUAUUCCUUAGGGCAUGCCUGUUCGAGCGUCAUUUAAACCUUCAAGCUAAGCUUGGUGUUGGGUGACUGUCCGCUUCACUGCGGACUCGCCUCAAAAUUAUUGGCGGCCGGUACAUUGGCUUCGAGCGCAGCAGAAACGCGAACUCGGGCCCGUCGUAUUGGCUCCCAGAAGCUAUCUUCACAAUUUUGACCUCGGAUCAGGUAGGGAUACCCGCUGAACUUAAGCAUAUCAAUAAGCGGAGGA
rnacentral:rRNA from 1 species